rnacentral:lncRNA from 1 species
AUUCAUUUUCUAAAACUUUCAAAUGCAACAAAACAAAAGUAAAACCAACUUAGCUACGAGAUGAACAAAAGCACUACUACCUACUACUAGGGACCACCGACAAAACUCCAACAAUAGGCACAACAAAUGACAAAAACACAAAAGAACCAUAAAUCAUAGGAAGAAGGAAAAAGAACGAAUGAGAAAACGAAUGAAGAGGGUGUAGGAGUUCAGUGAAUAUAUUGGCCAAAAAUUAAAUUUCGUUUAAUAAACAAUAAUUAUUUUUAUCUAUCUUUUUCUCUUCAUUUAAUAAGGGGUAAGAGACUCUACUUGGAGGUGCAACGAGAAAUAUUGGAGGUACAGAGUGAAAACUAAAUGAUGGAAUGCAUUAAGUAGUUGAAACAUUUUAAAAAGUCUUUUUCUCUUCACAGACCCUAUUUGGUGUGUAUUUCUUUUUGGAUCACAG